rnacentral:rRNA from 1 species
GAGUUUGAUCCUGGCUCAGGAUGAACGCUGGCGGCGUGCUUAACACAUGCAAGUCGAACGGAGUACCCCUGAAGGAGUUUUCGGACAACUGAUGGGACUACUUAGUGGCGGACGGGUGAGUAACGCGUGAGUAACCUGCCUUGGAGUGGGGAAUAACAGCUGGAAACAGCUGCUAAUACCGCAUAAUAUGUCUGUGUCGCAUGGCACUGGACAUCAAAGAUUUAUCGCUCUGAGAUGGACCCGCGUCUGAUUAGCUAGUUGGCGGGGUAAUGGCCCACCAAGGCGACGAUCAGUAGCCGGACUGAGAGGUUGGCCGGCCACAUUGGGACUGAGACACGGCCCAGACUCCUACGGGAGGCAGCAGUGGGGAAUAUUGGGCAAUGGGCGCAAGCCUGACCCAGCAACGCCGCGUGAAGGAAGAAGGCUUUCGGGUUGUAAACUUCUUUUCUCAGGGACGAAGCAAGUGACGGUACCUGAGGAAUAAGCCACGGCUAACUCCGUGCCAGCAGCCGCGGUAAUACGGAGGAUGCGAGCGUUAUCCGGAUUUAUUGGGUUUAAAGGGUGCGUAGGCGGGCUUUUAAGUCAGCGGUAAAAAUUCGGGGCUCAACCCCGUCCGGCCGUUGAAACUGGGGGCCUUGAGUGGGCGAGAAGAAGGCGGAAUGCGUGGUGUAGCGGUGAAAUGCAUAGAUAUCACGCAGAACCCCGAUUGCGAAGGCAGCCUUCCGGCGCCCUACUGACGCUGAGGCACGAAAGUGCGGGGAUCGAACAGGAUUAGAUACCCUGGUAGUCCGCACAGUAAACGAUGGAUGCCAGCUGUCCGGGCCGAAUGGGGCCUGGGUGGCAAAGCGAAAGCGUUAAGCAUCCCACCUGGGGAGUACGCCGGCAACGGUGAAACUCAAAGGAAUUGACAGGGGCCCGCACAAGCGGAGGAACAUGUGGUUUAAUUCGAUGAUACGCGAGGAACCUUACCCGGGCUCAAACGCGUCAGGGAUCCCCUUCGAAAGGAGGGGAGUCAGCAAUGACCUGGCGCGAGGUGCUGCAUGGUUGUCGUCAGCUCGUGCCGUGAGGUGUCGGCUUAAGUGCCAUAACGAGCGCAACCCCUACCGACAGUUGCUAACUGGUGAAGCAGAGGACUCUGUCGGGACUGCCGGCGCAAGCUGCGAGGAAGGCGGGGAUGACGUCAAAUCAGCACGGCCCUUACGUCCGGGGCGACACACGUGUUACAAUGGCAGGUACAGCGGGAAGCCACCGGGCGACCGGGCGCGGAACCCGAAAACCUGUCUCAGUUCGGAUCGGAGUCUGCAACCCGACUCCGUGAAGCUGGAUUCGCUAGUAAUCGCGCAUCAGCCACGGCGCGGUGAAUACGUUCCCGGGCCUUGCACUCACCGCCCGUCAAG